AGAAAUUCAUCAUAAAUCUAAGCAUCUCCAAAAUUGGUACAAAUAGAUAUCUUACAAUUGCAAGUUGUAAACAUUCAUAUAGACAUCGGGAAUAUAAAGAAAAUCUAGACACAAAUCAAUAAUUCAAGAAACACAUAUUAUACACUUGUACAAUUUAAACUAAAAUUAGGUUAAACAUGAAGACCCUACACAUGGUAAUACUUCAAAAGAAACACG
rnacentral:lncRNA from 1 species